GCCGGGAUGGCGGAAUCGGCAGACGCACCGGACUCAAAAUCCGGCGCCCGCAAGGGCAUGGGGGUUCGACUCCCCCUCCCGGCACAA
rnacentral:tRNA from 1 species